UAACCUCGGAGAUGGAACUGCUACUGGUUCUGCUUAAGCUUCUUCUGUUGAUCAAACACCGCUUCCCUUCUGACCUAACCACUUCUUCCACCACGAAGUUAAGCAGCGUCGUCCUCCCGUCGACGCUCUGCACGUCGGAGAGUUUCAACAGCGCAACGCUCUUCACGUCGGAGAGUUUCAACAGCGCUGUGAGAUUAAAAGCUUGAGCGUCUCCUCUAGCUGUUCCAGCAUUCAUCCUGUUUCCGGAUUUAAGUAUCGCUUCGAGAAGCUUGACGAACAAGCCACGCGACCUAAGCUCC
rnacentral:lncRNA from 1 species